rnacentral:misc_RNA from 1 species
UGCCAAAGCCAAAGUUCUCUCCUAAAGUUUUGUGCAAACAUAGAAUCAAUACAUGCCACCCAAAAGAAAAGGAAAAGAUACAUUCACAAUUCAAACCAUAAAAUAUCUUCAGGGUUCUAUGUUCUUGCUUGAAUUUAGGGUUUAUCUAUGCUCAUUAGUUAGUUGCAUUUCAUAAUUUUAUUUGAGUCCUUGAUUAUCCCCUAUUUAAUGCAUUUUUGCGAUUAAUAAAAAAAUUGCACAGUGACAGGACAUCAACAGCAGCUGUUUCCAUUGCACACAACCAUAACUGGGAUUGCUGACACAAGUAAUGAUUUAAAUCCAUGAUGUAAAAUUUCCAGCAUUAAGUUAUAAUCAUCAAACUAACCUUCUUUUCUUUCUCCAA